CUCCCCGGCCGGCCGCUCGAGCUUCCCUCCAGGGCUCGCUUAAGCUCGCGGCGCCGCACUCGAGUGCCCGGAGCGGGCAACGUACAGACUCCAGCUCCCCGCGGCUGCCUGCGCCCCGCUCCCCGCCAGCCUCGGGAGGCGGCGCCGCACAGCUCCCCCGGCGGAGCAGCCCAGCUGAUCACAGGCUGCGGGGACCGCUCUCCAGCCACAGCUGCCGCCACAUGUGGGAGCAGGGACAGCCCGCAGCUCUGCCCGGCCAGGGCGUCCCCGCCUCCUGCAAGCGAGACACGUACAGGGCCAAGCUCGACGCUCCGGCAGCCACCGACUGCGGCUCUGACACAGGCAAGCACCGAGCGAGCCCAACGCUGUAAAUAGCGCGGCGCCGACCUAGCCUGCCCCGACGCCCGCCCCUCGCUCCUCCCACCAUGCCCCCAGCACCGCUCUCAUAGGUUCCGCUUCUCUGCCACUCACAGCAGCCUGGAGCCUGCGGUCGCCCCGCCCCCCCGCCGCUUGCAAAUGGGCCCGGGGGGGAUCCGCAAUUCAUGCCCAGGGCAGCGAGGGGCGGGGCGGAGCGGAAGCAGAGCGCCCGGGUGUCCCGGCAGGACAGACGCGUCUCCGCGGAACACGACGCUCCCCCAUCCCCGCAUUCACACCAGCCUUGCAGCAAGGCUUGGGGCGCUCCCCCGCAGUGUUUCCAAUCCAACACUUUAAAGUCACGCCCGCCCCACCUUGGUGCUCAGGGCCCCGAUCAGCCAACUCGUAAGAACCAAACUGCCUGGGGACACUUGCCCAAACCAAGCCCUGCCUCGCCCGAGGAGGAAUGUGCCAAAUUACAACACACCAAGGUUCACGAUGCCACAUCACCCACUAAUGGAAUUACAACUGAAGCAAUGUGCUACUGGUGCCUUUUAUUUGCACACAUAGGAAAAUCUCAAUUUGCCAAAGUAAUUUAUAAUCUUCUAGCUCAGCAUUUCCUCUAUGUUCUCAGAAUUGAUGACAAGUGUAUUUAGCAGGCUUCGCUGUCGUGUGUGGCACGUAUGCUCUGGAGUUGGUAGUUGGUUUGUGUUCAUUAAGUUGCAUUGUUGCGUUAAAGUAAUAUGAGAGACUAUUUCUGAAUAUUACAAAUGUUCUGUCAAACUGAACAUGUAUAGACUCUAAUAUCUUGUCUAGAGGGCAAUGUGUUUGAAAUCAAUUUUAAGAGGCAAAAUUUCCUCAACAGCUGUCAUGUUUGAGUUGUGAUCUAACAUUUACUAUAAAACAUUUCAACUUCUGUUUUCAAGCUAUACAGAUGUUUGAAGUGCCACAGCUGGGAGGGACUUGCAGGGUGCAACUACUACUCACCAAUCUUUGCUCCCUUGAAACCUGUGGAGUUCAUUCUCCAGGGGAUCCACUCUGGUUUGAGCCAUGGAGGGAUGUGUCAGGAGGCACGGCGUUUGAUUUACUCAUGACUACCACAUUUCCUCCUCCUCUCUGAUUACUAGCACAAGCAUUCUGCAUAGGAAACUGUGGGGUCCCAUGACGGACCAUACACAAACAAAAUAAUUCAGCCUUUGCAAUACUAGUUUGCUUCUCUUUUAGAGGCAAAAGCAAACAGGGACAGACUUGGCCCAUAAAAGGGACAGGAGACAGGCCUAGCGCAAAGCAAAAUAAUGAUAUGUUCUGCAACAAGAAGGAAUGUGGGAUAAUAACUACAAGGAACCAGCAAGCAAAGCACCCGAGGCCUGAGGCAGCAUGAGGAGGUGUCUGUAACAAUCAUGAGAGAGCAGCCCGGAGCCUUAACUUGUAAUGACUAUGUAGCCCACAUAUCAAAAGGCUCUCCCACAAACACACACAACUACAAAUACAAUGAAGCCCUUUGAAAUGAAUACUGAAUAAAGGAAUAACAUGGUUUCA
ensembl:lncRNA